GGCGUCCUCCGUCUGCAGGACGUGGACCUCCACCCCUGUCCGCCGCACAAAGUCCACGGUGGACGACGGAACCUGGGACGAAACCAGGACACAAUAGGUCAAAGGUUUUGAUGGUUUUAAUGGUCUCGUCUUCGUGCUCUGACUCUGAUGGAACUCAAACCCAGAACCUUUGAAUGAUCCAGUGAACCACAUGGAUGAACAUGAAGACGAUGGAAACUGAGGAGUUCAUGUUUUUUACUCUUAGAUUCUGAUGCAAAGGAUUCUGGAAAACGUAUGAGACGUGUGACGUCAGUACCGUCCUGAACACGUAAACACAUCUGACACAGUUGGACAGUGGAUCCAGGUAUUUUAAAG